rnacentral:rRNA from 1 species
CCUACGGGUGGCUGCAGUGAGGAAUAUUGGUCAAUGGGCGCGAGCCUGAACCAGCCAAGUCGCGUGAGGGAUGACGGCCCUACGGAUUGUAAACUUCUUUUGUCGGGGAGUAAAGGACGUCACGCGUGCCUUUCCGAAUGUACCUGAAGAAAAAGCAUCGGCUAACUCCGUGCCAGCAGCCGCGGUAAUACGGAGGAUGCGAGCGUUAUCCGGAUUUAUUGGGUUUAAAGGGUGCGCAGGUGGAAGGUUAAGUCAGCGGUAAAAUUUAGGGGCUCAACCUAAUCGAGCCGUUGAAACUGGGAGUCUUGAGUGAGGGUGAGGUAUGCGGAAUGCGUGGUGUAGCGGUGAAAUGCAUAGAUAUCACGCAGAACUCCGAUUGCGAAGGCAGCAUAC